UUCCCCCUUUCAAUCGCCCCAUCUAUUUCUUUUCAUAAUCUAAAUUUUUAGUAGUAUUUCACUUAAAAUCCUUCAGAAACUUUGCUUCAUUUUAAGUGUUUUUACUCCCGGUCACCGUUACCCUUUUCGAUUGAUCCGAGUCCCAUAACGCAUGUCGAGGCUCUGCCCGACUAAGUUCGUUUGGAUUCUAUCUCGGGACUUCGGGACAAGGUUGAUUUAGGGGUAUUAUACUUAUCACGAGUGCAUUAUAUUUUUAAUAACCCAAAGGUUAUAUCCAAAACUUAUACCAGGAGUCCUUCUAGUUGAACCCUAAAGUUACACAGUGGGUCCAUUCCUUUUUCUCACCAUUUUAUUCUCUUUUUAUGAUUUACCCAAAACUAUUAUUCUAUUCUCAUUAAAAGUCAUAUCUAUCAUUUUAUUUACCCAAUAGGAAACCAUAGUUGAGACACCCAAGUAAUUCUGCACUAACCCUAGAAUUUCCAGAGCAAUCAGAAUCAGGAUCAGGGGCCCUAAAACUCAGGGGGGGGGCAAAACCCUAAUAACGAUUAUCUUCAUAACUCAUUAUAAAAUUCGAAAUUUAUAAAACCAUCGACACAGCAAGCCUACAUGCACGAAGGGCUACUCUAUGAAAAUAGGGUGGUCACUCGCGUAGCGCGACGGCUAAGGGGGUACCCCUCGCGCUACGCGACGGUGUCAAAAUUUCAGUAUAAAUAGCAGGAGUUGGGACUUGAAUUUUGGCACUUGAACGACGAAAAUCGGAGUUACGUAGGUCGAGUUAUAAGCAAAACAGUCCAACACACACACACAAUUAUCGAAUCACUACCGCAAAACAGGGUAAUUAGUCGAUCGCUAUUACGAUUCAGUUUCCGGGAUCAAUAUACCCAAAGAAUGUCUAAGUGCUGCCCACAUUGGGCUAUGCUUUAUCGUUGUCGAUAAUUCGAUAAUGAGCCGAAGCAUUGUACUUUGUCGUUGUCGAUAAUUCGAUAUACGAGUUAAAGUACUAUACUUUAUCAUUUGUCAUUUUGAUAAAUGAGCCGAAGUAUUGCACCUGGACAUUCAUUGUAAAAAAUUGAUCUCGGGGAAUUAUCGUAACUGCUGUAUUGAUCAUUAACCUGGUUCUUGUAAAAUUCGUUAAGAGUUGAUUUAGGUUUUUCACCAACACGUAUUCCAUUCUGUUAAACUACCAAGAAUACUCCCAACUACACCCUUACAAUCAAACAAACUAUUAAAUCAUCAGAAGAUUCAGAAUAAUAAAGUACAUGCUUAAUUAUCGGGAAAAGUAGAAUCAAGAAGUUUGUUAACUCAAUCCUGCAUGAUGAUUUGUAAUUACAGUAGAUUGGAGUAAGGAUUGGAUCCGGCACUAAAAGACUUCAAGAAGUGGCUUAUUUUAUUAAUUAAAUCAAUUAAGAAAUAUUGUUUUUAUUAAAAGCUACCUUUGUAAA
rnacentral:lncRNA from 1 species